rnacentral:lncRNA from 1 species
GGAGGUCAGGAUGAGAGCAGUGGUCCUGGGAUGAAGGGCAGGGACAGUAGGGAGCACUGCAGAUAGAAGUCCAGAUAGAAGCCCAGAGGCCUCCCCUCCCCCUUGUUCCCUUCUCUGUCCCCUGUCCCUGGAGGCAAGGACCUAGGCCUUUGGGGUCUGCUAGGCGUUUUUCCUGAGCAGUGACUGCUGGAGGGGUCCAUGGCAGACUUGGGGCAGUUUACUUCUCUGUCCGAGCCCAGCUUCUGGUUGGCUCUGGCAAACCCCACAGGACUGGAAUUGCCCCCACCCAUAGUGCUCCCUCCCACUUCAGUUUGCUCUGCACUCUCAUAGCCAGCCCAUUCCUGAGGAUUCUCCCCAUCCUUUUCUCCCCCAACACUCGGCAUGCCCUGGGGGACCAAGGUCUCAGCAGACUUCUACCUUCCUUUGCUGGAACCGCUCUGCAUUUGCUCCUGUGAUUCCCUCCCCUGGAAUGCCAGGAGGAAGAUGCUCCCAGGCAAAGAUUUCAGAAUGACAUGGAAUUCUCCAGAGGAAUCCUGGAUCCCCCCUACACUAAUGCCUCAGCCUGUUCACUCCUGAUCUUUGGGAGGGUGCACCUGGAAGCAAGCUCUGGGGUCCCUGGGGGAGAAGGCACAGCCCCUGCCCUGGAGACACUUAAAGCCUGAUGGAGUCUUGCUCUGUAGCACAGAAUGAAGUGCAGUGGCAGGACCUUGGCUCACCACAACCUUCGCCUCCCAGGUUAAGCGAUUCUCCUACCUCAGCCUCCCGAGUAGCUGAGAUUACAGGCGCCCGCCACCACGCCCGGCUAAUGUUUGUAUUUUCAGUAGAGACGGGGUUUCACCAUGUUGGCCAGGCUGGUCUCCAACUCCUGACCUCAAAUGAUCUGCCCGCCUUGGCCUCCCAAAAUGCUGGGAUUACAGGCGUGAGCCACCGCUCCUGGUCUUCUUUAACUUUUAUCUAGUGUGGCUACUGGAACAUUUUAAAUUAUGUGUGUGGCUCAUAUUGUAUUUCUGUUGGACAACACUGUUACGGAAUAUCUGCUCUGCGGGGGCAGGGAAUUUUGUCUUUUUUUGUUCACAGCUAAAUUUCAUAGCACCUAGAGUAGCACCUAGCACACAGUAGGUGGUCAGUAAAUUAUUUGUGGAAUGAAUGAAUGGAUCCUCACCAGCAUUUCUCCUUAGGAGUCACCAGCAAUUGAUCAGAUGGAACUUAUUUGCUACCCCGAGCCUAGCGGAUGCUACACCACAGUGCUAACAACCCCCGUUUGUGCUUUCUGACUUUAGAGCUUGUGUCGCUCUCCUGGGACUCUCCUGAUACCCAGUGGGGCAGGUGAAAGUGGACUCUGGUGAAUGCACUGCUCCGCUGAGGGUCUUCUGAAAGGGAACGUUUCCGUUCCUUCUGAUCAGGAAGCAGGGCAGUGUGCAAAUGGUAUGGAAAUCACUUCUUGUGGGUGUUUGCCUAUCUAGGGUGCUGGGGAUACUUCCAGUCCACUUCCUGACCCCAGCCCUUGGUCCCUAGAGACAAAAGAGGAAGCUCUGGAGACUUUGAGCUCUGGGGGCAGAUCGGGGGAACUGGGGCCCCCUUAGUCUUUCCCCAGCGAAUGAGGGCUUGUAGCCCAGAGCAUCCUCAUCUCUCAAUUCAGCAGGAGCCUAAAAAUAGUCUGCAGUUUCAGCCUCCCCCACAGCCGCCCGCGCCAAGUGGGGCCCUGCGCCCGGCAGCUCCUCCACAAUCCAGACUGUCUGCACAAUCUGCCCCAGCUACCGACCCCCAUCUCCUCGGCGUCUGUCCCAUCCUGGCCCCUGAGAACCCUGAGCUCAGCACUCCCUGCUGUGAGGCCUGCUGAGGGUCUGCUUCACACUCUGCCUUUCCUAACAGCCUGGGCCCUGACCCCUGGAAUUCCAGACCCCAUGUUUUGUCCACUCUCCAUUCUGGAGGGGACGCUAGCCAGACACAAGUGGGGUGAAGGUGUUGCAGGUAAUGAAACCAGCACAUGCAAAGCAUGGGGUGCGAGAGAGCACAACAUGCCAUGGAAGGGGUGAGCCGGAAGGGCUGGGUGCACGGGAUGGAGUACGGGGGCCAGUCCCAAGCUGGAAGGCAGCACCGCAGGUCUGUUGGCUCCCACCCCACGCGUGGAUGCCCUGGAGUAGAUGAUGUCUUCGUCCAGCCCACGGUGGAGCAGGACUGCCCCUUGGAUCAAGUAGCCUGCAGUAGCUCUGGUGCCACCCACACCUUGUGUAGAGCCCAGAAGGAACGCUUAGGUGCCAGGGCCUGUCUCCCUGUUUUGGGUCCUCCACAUCUUGUGGGAAGCCCUGGUGCCUUCCGGCUCUGAGCUUCUGGGGUUCCUGCCUGCUUAGCAAUACAGGAAGUCUCCUCAAUGAGGUCCAGCAAGGGGAAUGCCUCGAGGCAACCAGUACCUUGGUGGCAGAGCUGGAAUGAAACCCUCCAUAUCCUGAUGCCCAGCUGGGACCCGUCCCUCC